UAAUUUGUAUAGUGCAACACUGUGGUCGGGACAGCUAUGCUAUCUCAAGAUGGAUCGAGGUGCAAAGGCCGGGGAUGAGGCUUGCUUUCAAAACCCUUAAUAUUUUUCAUUUGCAAGUUGCUGUAUCGUUAGGCUUUGAUGUUUGGUUUCUCCCUCUCUAUCAGGUUGAGCCUGAAAUCGACGGCAUAAGAGAAGCCUGGAUGAGCUAGCUCAGGGGAUUGC
rnacentral:lncRNA from 1 species